rnacentral:siRNA from 1 species
UAAUAGAGCUACUUACAAUCUGCC